CGUCUCUUUAAUCAACUUUUUCUAGCCCUACGUAUACUAAUUAUUUUAGGUCACAUAGCAAGGCCUGGUCAUGGACCUGGCCACGGGGGCGCUGACCCCCCGGAACACCCUCCAGGUAGACUUCAGGUAUAAUUACUGUGCUCAGAGGGUUACACCAUUACUAUGGUCACUGUAGAACACCAUUACUAUGGUCACUGUAGAACAUCAUUACUAUGGUCACUGUAGAACACCAUUACUAUGGUCACUGUAGAACACCAUACAUACUCCACUAUAUUAUUGUUUAUGGUUGUUGCAGAAACACCUGACGUUAUUGAGGAACUUUAUUGAUCGAGCCUAGAGGAGUGUGGGUGAUGUAGAGCCUAGAGGAGUGUGGGUGAUGUAGAGCCUAGAGGAGUGUGGGUGAUGUAGAGCCUAGAGGAGUGUGGGUGAUGUAGAGCCUAGAGGAGUGUGGGUGAUGUAGAGCCUAGAGGAGUGUGGGUGAUGUAGAGCCUAGAGGAGUGUGGGUGAUUGGUAGGUAAGACACAUAGGCAACAGUUAGGCAGCUUUAUUCCGAAACGUUUCGCCUACACAGUAGGCUUCUUCAGUCGAAUACAGAAAGUAGGCAGGAACAGUAGAGAUGUGAAGACGAUGUAAUCAGUCCAUCACCCUUAAAGUCGUAGAAUUUGAGGUUGUCAGUCCCUCGGCCUGGAGAAGUUCAGUUCCAUAGUCAGGAACUAUCUGAAGAUCAAGCGACAGUGCGGAGACUUAAAUACUUUCGGAAGGAGAGGUGCAGAGUAGUAGUAGUAGUAGUGAGAGUGUAGCCACUGAGAGGUCAGGUCCCUCUCAGAUCCAACACUUCUCACUUGAAAGGGUUGUCUAAGGCGUUUUCUGUACCAAGAGGCCAUGUGUUGCAGUGUCUGACAAGAUGAACAUCAAAAUGGUAUACAAUGGUAUACAAUAAUGUGGGUGAUGUAGAGCCUAGAGGAGUGUGGGUGAUGUAGAGCCUAGAGGAGUGUGGGUGAUGUAGAGCCUAGAGGUGUGUGGGUGAUGUAGAGCCUAGAGGAGUGCGGGUAAUGUAGAGCGGUGCUGGCAGACUUAAAAUAGUAUAACUAAGAUUAUUUUAGUUAUACCACCACCACAGCAUCACCAUACACCACCACAGCAUCACCAUACACCACCACAGCAUCACCAUACACCACCACACCAUAGUUACACCACUAGUGUUUUAUAUAAUCAAACAUUCACACACCACUCAAUAUCAACAUGGAUGUCGCCAUGCCAACUGACGUCCCAUACCUGUGACCAUGACAACAUUCAUGUGACAGUGCCAGCACUGGCAUCACAGUGCCAACACUGACGCUGGUGUCAUUGUGGGUGGACAGGUCCAGGGAAGAGAGUGGUGCCUGUAGCGACGCAGGACACGUCGGGCGGAGACGUAAUGGCAGCCUUUACACCCCAGGACGUCGGGGAGUACCUCGUUGACGUCCGCGUCGGCGACACCAGGGUCCCCGGCAGCCCCUUCAGAUGCUAUGUGUACAACGCGCAGGAGAUCCGCGUUGGAACCAUCCCCAACGGCAUCGUCGGCAGACCGUCGAAUUUGAGAUCGAUGGAUCGUCAGCUGGCUCUGGCAACCUGGAGAUCCUGGUGAAUGGAGGUCAUGUGACCUCGUACGUCAGGAACCUGGGUCACCAGAGGUUCCUGGCUUCCUUUGUGCCGCACUCCGCUAUCCGCCACACCGUUGAGAUGCGCUUCAAUGGAGAGAAAGUUCCUGGUGAGUGUUAUUAAACACUUGUGUUGAAGAAAGUACGUUCUAACUUGGGUGUCAGGCAGGUGCCA